UGGGGAAUUUUGGACAAUGGGGGAAACCCUGAUCCAGCCAUCCCGCGUGUGCGAUGAAGGCCUUCGGGUUGUAAAGCACUUUUGGCAGGAAAGAAACGUCGCGGGUUAAUACCCCGCGAAACUGACGGUACCUGCAGAAUAAGCACCGGCUAACUACGUGCCAGCAGCCGCGGUAAUACGUAGGGUGCAAGCGUUAAUCGGAAUUACUGGGCGUAAAGCGUGCGCAGGCGGUUCGGAAAGAAAGAUGUGAAAUCCCAGAGCUUAACUUUGGAACUGCAUUUUUAACUACCGGGCUAGAGUGUGUCAGAGGGAGGUGGAAUUCCGCGUGUAGCAGUGAAAUGCGUAGAUAUGCGGAGGAACACCGAUGGCGAAGGCAGCCUCCUGGGAUAACACUGACGCUCAUGCACGAAAGCGUGGGGAGCAAACAGGAUUAGAUACCCUGGUAGUCCACGCCCUAAAACGAUGUCAACUAGCUGUUGGGGCCUUCGGGCCUUGGUAGCGCAGCUAACGCGUGAAGUUGACCGCCUGGGGAGUACGGUCGCAAGAUUAAAAACUCAAAUGAAUUGC
rnacentral:rRNA from 1 species